rnacentral:rRNA from 1 species
AAUGGGUGAGUAACACGUGCUUUAAUCUACCUUUUAGAUUGGAAUACCCAUUGGAAACAAUGGCUAAUGCCGGAUACGCAUGGAACCGCAUGGUUCCGUUGUGAAAGGCGCUGUAAGGCGCCACUAAAAGAUGAGGGUGCGGAACAUUAGUUAGUUGGUGAGGUAAUGGCCCACCAAGACUAUGAUGUUUAGCCGGGUCGAGAGACUAAACGGCCACAUUGGGACUGAGAUACGGCCCAAACUCCUACAGGAGGCAGCAGGG